rnacentral:misc_RNA from 1 species
GAACGCACAUUGCGCCCUCUGGUAUUCCGGAGGGCAUGCCUGUUCGAGCGUCAUUACAACCCUCAAGCUCUGCUUGGUAUUGGGCGUCACCGGUAACGGUGUGCCCUAAAAUCAGUGGCGGUGCCAUCUGGCUCUAAGCGUAGUAAAUCUCUCGCUAUAGGUGUCAGGUGGAUGCUUGCCAACAACCCCUAAUUUUUUAAGGUUGACCUCGGAUCAGGUAGGGAUACCCGCUGAACUUAAG